rnacentral:rRNA from 1 species
CUCGUAGGCGGUUAGUCACGUCGGAUGUGAAAACCCAGUGCUUAACACUGGGCCUGCAUUCGAUACGGGCUGACUAGAGUGUUGUAGGGGAGACUGGAACUCCUGGUGUAGCGGUGAAAUGCGCAGAUAUCAGGAAGAACACCGGUGGCGAAGGCGGGUCUCUGGGCAACUACUGACGCUGAGACGCGAAAGCGGUGGGGAGCGAACG